rnacentral:rRNA from 1 species
GACAGGAGGGGCAAGUGUUGAGCGUCUUGACUGGGCCUAAAGGGUGGGCGGGUGGAUUACAGAGUCUAAUUAGUGACACCCCGAUCUGCAUCGGGCAUCCUAGAAGAACCUGUAGUCUUAGAGUCAAAAUAAGGACCAGAGAAUAAUCCAAGGACCGGUAAAAUGGAUCAAUAUGGAUUGGAAUGCCAAUGGCGAAGGCACUGGUCUGAUUUUGCACUGACACUCAGCCACGGAAGCGUGGGGAGCAAAUAGG